rnacentral:rRNA from 2 species
CAUCACCCUGUGACAUACCUAUAACGUUGCCUCGGCGGGAACAGACGGCCCCGUAACACGGGCCGCCCCCGCCAGAGGACCCCCUAACUCUGUUUCUAUAAUGUUUCUUCUGAGUAAACAAGCAAAUAAAUUAAAACUUUCAACAACGGAUCUCUUGGCUCUGGCAUCGAUGAAGAACGCAGCGAAAUGCGAUAAGUAAUGUGAAUUGCAGAAUUCAGUGAAUCAUCGAAUCUUUGAACGCACAUUGCGCCCGCCAGUAUUCUGGCGGGCAUGCCUGUUCGAGCGUCAUUACAACCCUCAGGCCCCCGGGCCUGGCGUUGGGGAUCGGCGGAAGCCCCCUGCGGGCACAACGCCGUCCCCCAAAUACAGUGGCGGUCCCGCCGCAGCUUCCAUUGCGUAGUAGCUAACACCUCGCAACUGGAGAGCGGCGCGGCCACGCCGUAAAACACCCAACUUCUGAAUGUUGACCUCGAAUCAGGUAGGAAUACCCGCUGAACUUAAGCAUAUCA